rnacentral:sRNA from 1 species
UUGUUAAGGUCCAAAUAUGAAAAAAGGAAAACAACCUGAUGUUUCCUUUUUUUCUUUGCGUGAGCCUUUCCUUAUAAAUAUUCAUCUGUCUUGUGUUGGGAAAUCAUAAUUUUUCUUUAAGAGACAAAAAAACAAAAUUCUUCUUUUCUCUGCUACUGUUUUACAAAGACGAUCGUCGAUUUCGAAACCGUGAAAUUGAUGAUCCAUAUACGUCGCCGAUCUUUACCAACGCCAUGUCGAGAGAGGUCUCUCUAAUAUUUCACAAUCUCUGAUCAAUCAUGGAGGAUUAAUCCGACAAGGUUACUGGUUAGAGAUCAUAUCCAUACCAACGCCACUUGGAGUGGUCUCUCGUGUUUGAUCAAUCGAUGUUGAUUUCUAGCCAACCAUGGAUGCAUCUUAUGCGGACCUGUCUUUUCUUUCUGAAAAGCGCAAAGAAACUCUCAUCAACAACCGACGAGUAGGUUUGGAGUUUCAAUGACUCAGAAUCAGACCGUUAAGGACUCGCCCUAGGAGAGAAGAUGAAGAUGACUCAGAUCUCUCAUCUACAAUUUGCAAUCUUGGCCCAAUAUGAUAUGGGCUUCGCAAAACAGCGUAUGGGCUUUUUAGCAAACAACAAUCCCUGAUGACAAACGUCUCCCUAUUUCACGA